rnacentral:rRNA from 1 species
UGCGUAGGCGGGUCUUUAAGUCAGGGGUGAAAUCCUGGAGCUCAACUCCAGAACUGCCUUUGAUACUGAGGAUCUUGAGUUCGGGAGAGGUGAGUGGAACUGCGAGUGUAGAGGUGAAAUUCGUAGAUAUUCGCAAGAACACCAGUGGCGAAGGCGGCUCACUGGCCCGAUACUGACGCUGAGGCAAAGACUGGGGAGCAAACA